rnacentral:lncRNA from 1 species
CCUCAACACAACCACGAGAAAACACUUCCAUUUUUCUAGAUAGAGCUUUGAGCCGCAACAUCCGCCUUCCGCUCUUGCGAUGGCUUCCAGCUCCGUGCCUAAGAUGGCUGCCGUUUUCAUGCUGGCCCUAUUCGCUGGCCAGGCGCUGAUGGCUACGCCGGCGAUGGCAGAAGGACUAGGUAACCGGCACAACCUUUUGGAGAAGUAUGAUGAGACGCAAUGUCGCGGAUACGCCACAUGCAAUAUUGUAUGCUUCUACCAAGUUUUUCAAGUCUGCGUCAUCUAUAGCCCUGUUGCAUUCUGCAACACUUGGGCGCUUGGGUUCUGCAAGGACAAGAGAUACUGAGGCAUAAAUAGCAGUGCAGCUCCUUUUGGGAUGCAUGCAUAACUACACGAGCAACUCGCCUCAUCAGUGUCAACUAUUGUUCCUUGGUUAUUGGCGUUGUGCGUUGCAAGAGUCCUAAUAUGUUCCUCCCUUUAUUUCCAGCUAUCAUUUAUCAGUGGCUUAACCAACUAUUUAAUUACUUCAUUCUCUGUCAUCAUGGUACUUGUUUAACUAAAAAUCCCCUGUCGGAUACAAAUGUAUGUGUCGUUUGAUUAUAAAAUGGUUCCGCCGCGGCAGCAUUUUUCGGUCCAUGAUGGCCAUAUAAGCAUGCUCUUUCUACCCUUACCGAUGAAUCUUUCUUCAUGAAAUACCAUUCGUUUGACAGAUUUGGCAUGUGGUUCGACAAAAUGCCAUAAAAAAUAAAGGUUGCAAAAAUAUAAGGGAGCUUGAAGCUGAAUCGGCACUAACCUUGUAAAUAUUUUUCGUAGUGGACAAGACAAAUACUACACAGGCCAUCGCCACACCCAGUUUCGCUAGAUCAUCGCAGAUGAUGCGAUGUUUGACAACAUAUACAUUCUAAACGGACACUCAAGGCCCAUAGGGUGACCAGCGUUGUUUUCGUGUUAAUCCGGGCCCACAGGGUACGAAAGUUUUUUUCGUCUGUGAGUCCCUAUCAUGUGGAACCCAUGUUAACUGCCGUGAUUGCAUUGGCUUUCAGGGACGAAUAUAUCGAAUCGGGGUUUUCGAGCGUUCUCUCAUUGCACCUUGAGUACCCCAAACCCAUUAAGGUCGCCUUCCGACGCUCUCUAGUAGUCGUCCAGGUGCUUGGGUCAUCCUUCUUCUGGCUAGAGUCGCGUUGGCAUCGAUCCUUUGGACAUUUGAUUCAAUCCUCCAAGAGGGUCUUUCACUGCCCCUACGGCAGAUGCUACCGAAAAGAGUUCCGGCAUUGAGCGAGCAUUUUCUUGGGCUAUCCUGAUCAAACAUCUCGCAUGCCUCAUUCUACCUUUGAAAACUGAAAUUAUAUCCAGGCAGGAUUGAUCCGUGGGAAGUCAUUCAUUUUCCUCAGAAACCCGCAAUUCCCAGAUCAAAAGUCAUAUUUCCCGCUCCUCUAGUUUCUUAAACCAGCACGGUUCCUUUUUCCAGCAGGAAUACUCCCAAAAAAGGGCUUCCAUUCAAAGUGGAAAGAAAGAGACCGGUCCGUUCUCCCUCUUUGCCUAGCGGUUAAUUAGAGUGUAGGUCCCCUCCCAGGCCUCGCAACCAAGAGUCACUUGUCGAAAGUUGACCAAGAAGACAAUAACUAUCAAGGCAGGAAUAGAUAGAUGAAACUCUAAACUGUUUCACCAUCUUCUAUGGUCAUUCUUAUUUUUCUGAAGUUGAAGUUGUGCUCGCCCAUGUAAGCUUCAAUAGGUUUGUGGACAUCACAACCCCAUUCUCCUGUAUCUCUUCAACAUGCAAGCACUUCGUUAGGGCCGCUGGUUUUCUGGAAGUGGGUUCACUGUUUACGCCUCCAUGGAAUCUGGCUAGCUCGAAGAGUCCCCAGAUGACCUCGAGUUGCUCCUGGCAUUCCCAGUGAUGUCAUUAAUGAUUGGACCGUUCACCUUGAACGGAAAAUCAUUGAACAGUAGUGAGGAAGGAGUUCGGUGUUUCCUAACUUCUAUUGCGAGAGUGGUUUUUUUAGACCAAGGGACGUUCCACCUACAUUGCACCAAUGAUAAUCACUCAAAUCAAAAAAUGGCUAAAUAAUUUGAAUUUGCAGGCUUGGCUGUGACCAAUUGUUUAGGGUGCUUAUUUGGUGGCCAAAUGACAUCCGAGGAGCUCUUUACAUACAAAAUAUAUAUAUCAAAUUUUGUCCUCAAAGUUAUGUACGCAUAGUUUGAGUAGAAGUUGUAUUUUUUAUAUAUGAAGCUCAUUUGAUACUAUUUGGUCACCAAACAAUGCAAGCACCUCAAACACUUGUUCAAUAAAUGCCCCAAAGUUUAUUUUGCUAUUUGUUAUCAGUUUACUCUUCAGCGUGGAUAAAUUGCACUUUGGUGUAGCCACUAAUUUUCCGUCCCAUCCCGCAUCUCUGAUGGUAGCAAGCUCGAGGUACCGGUCGGGAGUUUUUAGUUGGAAGGACGUGGCUAUCGUGACUGCAAGGGCAUAUCGAUGCAGGGGUACUAUUCUAGGGACGAAGCCAUUAGGAGUUGCUUUUGACAGUGAUCCUUUUGACCGGGUAUCGCAAUACCCAAACAUUGCGACAUUAACAUACAUGAAUUUGUAUGACAGUGGGAAGUAACAUUGAAUUAUGAAAAUGACACAGGGAGACAAUAUUCCCCGGCCCUUUUGGCGCGCACGAUGCAAGUAAUCUAGAAUUGUAUGUGUCAACAUGUAUAGUGUGUGUGNNNNNNNNNNNNNNNNNNNNNNNNNNNNNNNNNNNNNNNNNNNNNNNNNNNNNNNNNNNNNNNNNNNNNNNNNNNNNNNNNNNNNNNNNNNNNNNNNNNNNNNNNNNNNNNNNNNNNNNNNNNNNNNNNNNNNNNNNNNNNNNNNNNNNNNNNNNNNNNNNNNNNNNNNNNNNNNNNNNNNNNNNNNNNNNNNNNNNNNNNNNNNNNNNNNNNNNNNNNNNNNNNNNNNNNNNNNNNNNNNNNNNNNNNNNNNNNNNNNNNNNNNNNNNNNNNNNNNNNNNNNNNNNNNNNNNNNNNNNNNNNNNNNNNNNNNNNNNNNNNNNNNNNNNNNNNNNNNNNNUUCUUGUUGGGGAAUGUAGUAUUUCAAUUUUUUUUGCCUACGAUCACGCAAGAUCUAUCUAGGAGAAGCGUAGCAACGAGCGGGUAGAGUGUGUCCAUGCGUACCCUCGUAGACUGAAAGCGGAAGUGUUUAGUAACGCGGUUGAUGUAGUCGAACGUCUUCGCGAUCCAACCGAUCCAAGUACUGAAUGUACGGCACCUCCGCGAUCAGCACACGUUUAGCUCGGUGACGUCCGUCGUACUCUUGAUCCAGUUGAGUCCGAGGGAGAGUUUCGUCAGCACGGCGGUGUGGUGACGGCGAUGAUGAAGUUACCGGCAUAGGGCUUCGCCUAAGCACUAUGACGAUAUGACUGAUGUGUGUAACUGUGGAGAGGGGCACCGCACACGGCCACGUAUAUAAAGGAGGGGAGGGAAAAGGUGGCCGGCCCAAGGGGGCAUGCCAGGUGUGGGGAAUCCUAUUAGGACUCCCCAGUCCAAGUAGGAUUCCCCUCUUUCCAAAUCCUAGUAGGAGAAGGAGGGAAGGAUGAGGAGGAGAGAAGGAAAGGGGGGCUGCCCCCCAAACCCUAGUGCAAUUCGGUUUGGGCUNNNNNNNNNNGUAACCCCUGGUACUCCGAAACUCAUCCGAAGCGACCCGAACCAUUCCGUUGUCCGAAUGUAACCUUCCAAUAUGUGAAUCUUUAUGUCUCGACUAUUUUGAGACUCCUUGUCAUGUCCAUGAUCUCAUCCGGGACUCCGAACAAACUUCAGUCAUCAAAUCAUAUAACUCAUAAUACAAAUCGUCAUCGAACGUUAAGCGUGCGGACCCUACGGGUUCAAGAACUAUGUAGACAUGACCGAGACACAUCUCCGGUCAAUAACCAAUAGCGGAACCUGGAUGCUCACAUUGGCUCCUACAUAUUCUACGAAGAUCUUUGUCAUCAGUAUGUUACUUGCCCGAGAUUCGAUCGUCGGUAUCAUCAUACCUUGUUCAAUCUCGUUACCGGCAAGUCUCUUUACUCGUAACGGAAUGCAUCAUCCCGCAACUAACUCAUUAGUCACAUUGCUUGCAAGGCUCAUAGUGAUGUGCAUUACCGAGAGGGCCCUGAGUUACCUCUCUGAUACACGGAGUGACAAAUCUUAAUUUUGAUCUAUGCCAACUCAACAAACACCAUCGGAGACACCUGUAGAGCAUCUUUAUAAUCACCCACUUACGUUGUGACGUUUUAUAGCACACUAAGUGUUCCUCCGGUAUUCUGGAGUUGCAUAAUCUCAUAGUCAUAGGAACAUGUAUAAGUCAUGAAGAAAGCAAUAGCAAUAAACUAAACGAUCAUAGUGCUAAGCUAACAGAUGGGUCUUGUCCAUCACAUCAUUCUCUAAUGAUGUGAUCCCGUUCAUCAAAUGACAACACAUGUCUAUGGUCAGGGAACUUAACCAUCUUUGAUUAACGAGCUAGUCUAGUAGAGGCAUACUAGGGACACUAUGUUUUUCUAUGUAUUCACAUAUGUACCAAGUUUCCAGUUAAGACAAUUCUAGCAUGAAUAAUGAAAAUUUAUCAUGAUGUAAGGAAAUAUAAAUAACAACUUUAUUAUUGCCUCUAGGGCAUAUUUCCUUCAGUCUCCCACUUGCACUAGAGUCAAUAAUCUAGAUUACAUAGUAAUGAUUCUAACAUCCAUGGAGUCUUGGUGCUGAUCAUGUUUUGCUCGUGAGAGAAGCUUAGUCAAUGGGUCUGCAAUAUUCAGAUCCGUAUGUAUUUUGCAAAUCUCUAUGUCUCCUUCCUUGACUUGAUCGGCAUUGAAGCGUCUCUUGAUGUGCUUUGUUCUCUUGUGAAAUCUGGAUUCCUUUGCCAUGGCAAUUGCACCAGUAUUUUCACAACAGAUUUUCAUUGGAUCUGAUGCACUAGGUAUGACACCUAGAUCGGAUAUGAACUCCUUCAUUUGCUGCUUCCGAAGCAGCUAUGUAUUCCGCUUCACACGUAGAUCCCGCCAUGACGCUUUGCUUAGAAUUGCACUUCGGUGUAGCCACAAAUUUUCCUUCCCAUCCCGCAUCUCCGAUGGUAGCAAGAUCGAGUUACCGGUCGGGAGUUUUUAGCUAGAAGGACGUGGCGGUCGUGACUCCAAGGUCAUAUCGAUGCACGGGUACUAUUCUAGGGACGAAGCCAUUAGGAGUUACUUUUGACCGUGAUCCUUUUGACCGGGUAUCGCAAUACCCAAACAUUGCUACAUUAACAUACAUGAAUUUGUAUGAUAGUGGCAAGUAACAUCGAAUUAUGAAAAUGACAAAGGUAGACAAUCUUCCCCUUAUGGCCCCGACGAUAUGAAUAACAACCUUACUCCUACUUGUCUAUAAUUAUAUCUAUCGACGGNNNNNNNNNNNNNGGGGGGGGGGUCUAGCGAGCCUUGUGCGCUAAGUUUCUAGCACAUUUGGUGACCAGUCUUAACCAGAUGUGCAAGUUCAGAUCUAGUCUAGGCCUGAAGCUAGGGCUUCCAUUAAGUCAUCUUGGCCCUCCAAGCAGAAGUUGUCAUCUCUUGUUCAUGGCGCUAAUGUAUUUAUAAAUGGUCUGGGGUCAGUUGGAUGCCUUCCUUUCCUAGCCUCCCAUUCGUGAAAAGCUUGAUAAUUCCACUGUCAUGACAUGUCCUCCCUCCUUCCAAGGAGUUCCAGGGGGUACACGUCAUCCUAAUUUCACUGCUAGGAGUGACUCUCCGUGGGAGUGGGUUUGACAUUCGCGAAAGUUUCCUUCAGGCUUACGCGGCUUGGGAUGGGCCCGAUCCACCUUUUGCCUACAACAUAUGACCUACCCGGAGACUACACCUUCACACAUGGUGAGUAAACAACUCCUUGGUUGCCCGCUCCACCUAGAUACGUGCCGCCAAAAGAAACUCCCGAUGUUCCUGUAGCUGAAGUGACGACCAGAUCUGAACCCGGUGGAUACUUGAGCAGAUAACUUGGAGAGGAGAAUAUAUCUUCUUUCAUCAAAUAUCACAUUAUUUGUACGUAACUACAUUGACUAUCAAAUUUUGCAUUCGUUAUAUAUUUCUCACAUUUUGCUAAAACCAAAAUAUUUUUUAACACACAUGAAAUUUCCAUGUAACGAUUUGCGUAAAACAUCAUCUACACAACUAAUGAAUCAACUGGGAUGCAACAUGCAUAUAUCUAAUUAGCUCGUGGUAAUUGUUUAAAUAUGUCAAGUUGAAUCAAUGAUAAAUAAAAAAACAAAAUAGGAAAUUAAGUAUAAAAUAUUUCAACAUCAAUUAAUGUGGAUGACAGGCAUAAGGUAACCAUGACUCCCUGACAGGUUGGUAGAACAAAGGGUAGGAUUGAUUUUAUAUCCGUGUGUUGCUUCCGAUAAUUUACCCGUCGGCAAACAGAAAGAACAAUGAUAGAUCAAACUAUGUGCUUUUGGGUAGCAGCAUACGCGAAACACAGUUGAAGAAAUGUAAUGAUGGUAUGUCAUGAAAGGCUUUCCUAGGCAUGUAAUGUAUGAUCUCAAUAUGCGCUUUACACACUUACCUAAGUUGACAACUAACUCUAUAAUGCCAUUAAGACUUGAACACUAUUGUCCUGUACUAUUUUGCACGUAAUAAUGAAUCAUGGUGCCAUGGUGGUAGUAUAUUUUAGACUCGGAACAUGGCAUACACAAGGAUCAUCUAUCGAUUAUUAAUUAAGUGCUAAAGUAUGUGAUGGCAAUAUAUGGAACUAGCUGGCUUGAGAUUUGCUACAUGGAGGGGAGUACCACUACAUCAAUCAUAUCAUGCAUGAUGAGAUUGAGCGUACGCAAACUUGUAUUAUCAUGUGUCUACCUUUGAAAUAUACAUAAAAAAGGAAGUAAAACUUGUAGGAAAAAUUAUUGGCUGGUCAAAUAGUUUCAUUCUUCUGGAAUGUAUGACCAUAUUAAUAAUGAAGUACUUGAUUAGACUAAAGCUUCUACUGAACCCUCUCAGGUAAAUGCCAUGAUGGUGUUGCAUUUACCCUUAUAUGCUUAUGUCUGGAACACAUGCCUGCUCUGCUUUCGGAUUGAUCUUGUUAACGAAUACGCUGUUCGAGGAAUCGUCAGAGUUCUCCCCGGGUUUAAAGUUUAUACUGAAAUAUGUAAUUUUGAUUAGCAGUAUAAGGGUAGGUAAAAUGCCAUCAAGACAUGUAUUGACGGUAACGCGCAAGGCGCUCUCAUAGGUGUGUAAUUUGUGAUCUUAAGAUGCUCUAUGCGCUCAUGGUUGUUUGUUGGUUAAAUAUAAUUAGCCAUGAGUAUAUGGAGAACUAGUUGUUAGCUGGUUUUUGGUAAAAUCUGUUUUGCUAGCAGUUUUGUGAAUAAUCAGUAUAGGGAAAAUACUGGUCGGGAUUAGGAAACUGUAAAGAUGGACAUGCGAUUUACUUGUUUGGAUGAAAUUCCAUAUUCCUCUCUUUGUGAGUUGUGGAAGGAGGAUGGCAUGAAAAAAGUUUGGGGCGUGAGGAAGUUAGUUAGGAUCCUGUAUUGCUAAAUCGCGUUUUUGGAAAAACAAAAAAUAGUAGUUUCUCUACAAAUGUGAAAUCCAGAGUUUAAUUGAAAAAAGUUCUUCAUAUACGCGGGUAGGUGUACAUUUUCUACUUAGUGCAUGUCACGCACACCAUGAUUAUCUACUGAUUGUUAAGUGCUAAGUAUGGGUUGGGAAGAUAACCAACUAGUUGGCUUGAUAUCAGGCACAUGCAGGGGAGUACUCCAAAGUCAACUAUAUAUCAUGAUGGUAUCAAGCUUACAUAAACAUGUAUUAUCAUGCAUGUUCGUAUGAUAGUCCGGUAUCAGCUUUGAGAUCAUGAAUGGCAAACUGGAGGGGCUAAUUUAUGAGUGCGUGUGCUUAUAAAUAGGGUCUCUAGCUAGCUAGUACUCACCUCAACACAACCACGAGAAAACACUUCCAUUUUUCUAGAUAGAGCUUUGAGCCGCAACAUUCGCCUUCCGCUCUUGCGAUGGCUUCCAGCUCCGUGCCUAAGAUGGCUGCCGUUUUCAUGCUGGCCCUAUUCGCUGGCCAGGCGCUGAUGGCUACGCCGGCGAUGGCAGAAGGACUAGGUAACCGGCACAACCUUUUGGAGAAGUAUGAUGAGACGCAAUGUCGCGGAUACGCCACAUGCAAUAUUGUAUGCUUCUACCAAGUUUUCCAAGUCUGCAUCAUCUAUAGCCCUGUUGCAUUCUGCAACACUUGGGCGUUUGGUUUCUGCAAGGACAAGAGAUACUGAGGCAUAAAUAGCAGUGCAGCUCCUUUUGGGAUGCAUGCACAACUACACGAGCAACUCGCCUCAUCAGUGUCAACUAUUGUUCCUUGGUUAUUGGCGUUGUGCGUUGCAAGAGUCCUAAUAUGUUCCUCCCUUUAUUUCCAGCUAUCAUUUAUCAGUGGCUUAACCAACUAUUUAAUUACUUCAUUCUCUGUCAUCAUGGUACUUGUUUAACUAAAAAUCCCCUGUCGGAUACAAAUGUAUGUGUCGUGUGAUUAUAAAAUGGUUCCGCCGCGGCAGCAUUUUUCGGUCCAUGAUGGCCAUAUAAGCAUGCUCUUUCUACCCUUACCGAUGAAUCUUUCUUCAUGAAAUACCAUUCAUUUGACAGAUUUGGCAUGUGGUUCGACAAAAUGCCAUAAAAGUUAAAGGUUGCAAAAAUAUAAGGGAGCUUGAAGCUGAAUCGGCACUAACCUUGUAAGUAUUUUUCGUAGUGGACAAGACAAAUACUGCACAGGCCAUCGCCACACCCAG